rnacentral:lncRNA from 1 species
UGCAGUGUAUAUCCGGAAUUAGGCCUCCCCAGACGGACCAUAUUCUUGAGCAACUUAUGUCUAAAGUGCCCAGAAUCAAACUCAAGAUAGACUGCAACUAUCUCGCAGGAGAACAUUGCAAUCUGAAACAUAUUCACGGAAAAAAAUAUAAGAAUCAAGCAUAAAGAGAAAAAAAAAGAGAAAAAAAUAUUCACAUGAAUCUCAAUGUAAAAUCAAUGACAUAUGACUUAGAUGUACAAUACUUAUGGCACAUCUAGAUAUGCUUUAGCAAAACUGAAAAUAUAAUUCAGUUGAAUGAAACUCCUCAUAAAUUACACCGCAGCGAUUUACUGAUUCACUUCAAAAAUAAUAAUUUAUCUAACGAAUUCAGCACCACCUAACUUUUGUGGUACACAUUGCAGCGACCACAGCAGACGGACCGUGGAUGUGCUUAAAGACAUUGAAGGGGGCAUGACCGCCACUUCUGGAGUUUCCGGUUAACCUGCCAAACACGGUUGCCACUUGGGUUUCCGCUACAAGCAUAGCGGUGCUGGGGGUGGACGGAGACAAACGAGCAAAGUAGGGAGAUCGAGAGAAGCGAUUAUGGAAGGCUUUUUUUACCUGUCCAAGAACCAUUGGAGAUUAUCAGCUAAAGAAUUUCGGAGAUAUAUCCAAGAUCUGCCCGACUCAAUUUCAUUAUGAACGGCACUUGUACAAAAUUUUGAUCAGGAGGAUAAUAGCAUAACAUAAUGGUUGGGUGGAAGAAGGAAUAGUAUAUUAAUGGGAAGAAAAUGAAGAUAUAAAGGGUACGUACCUAGCAAAGCACCAUGCUGAUGGAUAUUCUAUCGCCGGAGUGGAAAGGGUGAGUUGAGAGUGGUAGAGGAAGAAGUAUAUAUAUACACGUGCCUGAACUGAGGCAGCAGAAGGACGAGAAAACAGAGAGACAUCCAUUAGUCACCGCUGGCAAGGG